CAGUCGCCGCGGUAAUACGGAGGGAGCUAGCGUUGUUCGGAAUUACUGGGCGUAAAGCGCACGUAGGCGGUUAUUCAAGUCAGAGGUGAAAGCCCGGGGCUCAACCCCGGAACUGCCUUUGAAACUAGAUGACUGGAAUCUUGGAGAGGUCAGUGGAAUUCCGAGUGUAGAGGUGAAAUUCGUAGAUAUUCGGAAGAACACCAGUGGCGAAGGCGACUGACUGGACAGGUAUUGACGCUGAGGUGCGAAAGCGUGGGGAGCAAACAGGAUUAGAUACCCCUGUAGUCCCUGUCUCUUAUAC
rnacentral:rRNA from 1 species